rnacentral:rRNA from 1 species
AGAGUUUGAUUCUGGCUCAGAACGAACGCUGGCAGCGUGGAUUAGGCAUGCAAGUCGAACGAGAAGCCGCUCUUUCAAUCUUCGGAGAGAAUUGGCGGUAGACAGUGGCGGAAGGGUGAGUAUCGCGUGGGUAACCUACCCCUCAAGUUGGGGACAACUCGCCGAAAGGUGAGCUAAUACCGAAUGUGGUGGUCCCGCACAUGUGGGAUUAACUAAAGACGGGGAUCCUUCGGGACCUGUCGCUUGGGGAUGGGCCCGCGUACCAUCAGCUUGUUGGUAAGGUAACGGCUUACCAAGGCUUUGACGGUUAGCUGGUCUGAGAGGAUGAUCAGCCACACUGGGACUGAGACACUGCCCAGACUCCUACGGGAGGCUGCAGUCGAGGAUCAUUGUCAAUGCGCGAAAGCGUGAACAUGCGACGCUGCGUGGAGGAUGACGGCCCUAGGGUUGUAAACUCCUGUCAUGAGGGAAAGACCGUUCCAUCUUUAUUAGGGGUGGGACCUGAUGGUACCUCAAGAGGAAGCCACGGCUAACUCUGUGCCUGCAGCCGCGGUAAUACAGAGGUGGCAAGCGUUGUUCGGAUUUACUGGGCGUAAAGCGUGCGUAGGUGGCUUCGUGUGUCGGGUGUGAAAUCCCAUGGCUCAACUGUGGAAUUGCAUUCGAAACUGCGGAGCUAGAGUGCAGGAGGGGAGAGCGGAAUUCUUGGUGUAGCGGUGAAAUGCGUAGAUAUCAAGAAGAACACCGGUGGCGAAGGCGGCUCUCUGGAAUGUUACUGACACUGAGGCACGAAAGCUGGGGGAGCAAACAGGAUUAGAUACCCUGGUAGUCCCAGCCGUAAACGGUGCGCACUUGGUGUUGGGGGUGUUGACCCCCCCAGUGCCGGAGUUAACGCGUUAAGUGCGCCGCCUGGGGAUAUUGCCCGAGUACGGUCGCAAGAUUAAAACUCAAAGAAAUUGACGGGGGCCCGCACAAGCGGAGGAGCAUGUGGCUUAAUUCGAUGCAACGCGAAGAACCUUACCAGGGCUUGACAUAUACCUGCAUGCCCUGUGAAAGCAGGGAGGCCUUCGAGGGUGGUAUACAGGUGCUGCAUGGCUGUCGUUAGUUCGUGCCGUGAGGUGUUGGGUUAAGUCCCGCAACGAACGCAACCCCUGUAUCUAGUUGCCACCGCAGGUGAUGAGCCUGCGAGCACUCUAGAUAGACUGCCCGUACAAGCGGGAGGAAGGUGGGGACGACGUCAAGUCAGUAUGGCCCUUACGUCCUGGGCUGCACACGUGCUACAAUGGUCGGUACAGAGGGAUGCGAGACCGCGAGGUGGAGCAAAUCCCCAAAACCGGCCUCAGUUCGGAUUGGAGUCUGCAACUCGACUCCAUGAAGUUGGAUUCGCUAGUAACGGCGCAUCAGCUACGGCGCCGUGAAUACGUUCCCGGGCCUUGUACACACCGCCCGUCAC